rnacentral:misc_RNA from 1 species
GAUGAAGAACGUAGCGAAAUGCGAUAAGUAAUGUGAAUUGCAGAAUUCAGUGAAUCAUCGAAUCUUUGAACGCACAUUGUGCCCCCUGGUAUUCCGGGGGGCAUGCCUGUUCGAGCGUCAUUUCACCACUCAAGCCUCGCUUGGUAUUGGGCAACGCGGUCCGCCGCGUGCCUCAAAUCGACCGGCUGGGUCUUCUGUCCCCUAAGCGUUGUGGAAACUUUCGCUAAAGGGUGUUCGGGAGGCUACGCCGUAAAACAACCCCAUUUCUAAGGUUGACCUCGGAUCAGGUAGGGAUACCCGCUGAACUUAAGCAUAUCAAUAAGCGGAGGA